rnacentral:rRNA from 1 species
GACGAACGCUGGCGGCGUGCUUAACACAUGCAAGUCGAACGAAGAGCGAUGGACGCUUGCUUCUAUCAAUCUUAGUGGCGAACGGGUGAGUAACGCGUAAUCAACCUGCCCUUCAGAGGGGGACAACAGUUGGAAACGACUGCUAAUACCGCAUACGAUCUAAUCUCGGCAUCGAGGAUAGAUGAAAGGUGGCCUCUACAUGUAAGCUAUCACUGAAGGUGGGGAUUGCAUCUGAUUAGCUAGUUGGAGGGGUAACGGCCCACCAAGGCGAUGAUCAGUAGCCGGUCUGAGAGGAUGAACCGCCACAUUGGGACUGAGACACGGCCCAGACUCCUACGGGAGGCAGCAGUGGGGAAUCUUCCGCAAUGGACGAAAGUCUGACGGAGCAACGCCGCGUGAGUGAUGACGGCCUUCGGGUUGGAAAGCUCUGUUAAUCGGGACGAAAGGCCUUCUUGCGAAUAGUGAGAAGGAUUGACGGUACCGGAAUAGAAAGCCACGGCUAACUACGUG